rnacentral:rRNA from 1 species
ACCAUCGCGAACUCGUCCAAGUUGCUUCGGCGGCGCGGCACCCCUUAACGGGGGCGCCGCAGCCCUGCCUCUCCGGAGGUUCGGGGCGCCCGCCGGAGGUACGAAACUCUGUAUUAUAGUGGCAUCUCUGAGUAUAAAACAAAUAAGUUAAAACUUUCAACAACGGAUCUCUUGGUUCUGGCAUCGAUGAAGAACGCAGCGAAAUGCGAUAAGUAAUGUGAAUUGCAGAAUUCAGUGAAUCAUCGAAUCUUUGAACGCACAUUGCGCCCGGUAGUACUCUACCGGGCAUGCCUGUUCGAGCGUCAUUUCAACCCUCAAGCCCUGCUUGGUGUUGGGGCCCUACGGCUGCCGUAGGCCCUGAAAGGAAGUGGCGGGCUCGCUACAACUCCGAGCGUAGUAAUUCAUUAUCUCGCUAGGGAGGUUGCGGCGUGCUCCUGCCGUUAAAGACCCAUCUUUAACCAAGGUUGACCUCGGAUCAGGUAGGAAUACCCGCUGAACUU